CCAAUAGCGUAUAUUAAAGUUGUCGCAGUUAAAAAGCUCGUAGUUGAAUUUCAGGCCUGGCUGGACGGUCCGCCUUUUGGGUGAGUACUGUCUGUGGUCGGGUCCUACCUUCUGGCGAAGCGUCAUGGCCUUAACCGGCCGUGGCGGGGAACCAGGACUUUUACUGUGAAAAAAUUAGAGUGUUCAAAGCAGGCAGUCGCUUGGAUACAUUAGCAUGGAAUAAUGGAAUAGGGCAAUGGUUCUAUUUGUUGGUUUCUAGGACCGUUGUAAUGAUUAAUAGGGAUAGUUGGGGGCAUUAGUAUUCAAUUGUCAGAGGUGAAAUUCUUGGAUUUAUUGAAGACUAACUACUGCGAAAGCAUUUGCAAAGGAUGUUUUCAUUAAUCAAGAACGAAAGUUAGGGGAUCGAAGACGAUCAGAUACCGUCGUAGUCUUAACCAUAAACUAUGCCGACUAGGAAUCGGGCGAUGUUGACAAAAUGACGCGCUCGGCACCUCAUG
rnacentral:rRNA from 1 species